rnacentral:lncRNA from 1 species
AGGAGAGGCCCUGCAGGCACCUGGCUACCUGGGCCUGAAGAGGAGCAGGGGAGAUGAGUUUUGUGGGAGUUGACAGCGGCCAGGUGCGGUGGCUCAAUUUCCUGACCUGCUCCAUGGAAGGUGACCUAAUGGUGGUGACUGCGGGAGGAGCAGCAGCAAUAGCAGGAGUGGUACUCAAGUUCUGGAUGGCUAUCAUAAUGGAAAUAAAUCUUAGUCCACACACUCUUCAUUAACCUGACAAGAACUUAGGACUGCAGGACAAGAACUCGAGACCCACACAAUGAGUCCUAAUCAGUUGGCACACAUUAUCUCAUUUCAUCCUCUCAACAGCCCUAUAGUGUAUGUGCUGUUAUUGUUCAUUCAUACUUUGAUAAUGAACAAACUGCGACUCAGAGAAGUAGAGUAACUUGCCCAAAGUCAACAGCUGGUAAGCGGAGCUGGGACUCAAACCCAGUUUAUUUGAACUUCAAAGCCUUGGUGCUCAGCCUUUUCAUCCUGGUUGAGAACUAGAGUCAAAGCUGUAUCCUUUUUCCAGGCCCUGGCAAUCUAGGGCAUGGAUAGUAAUGACAAAAGACAGCUGGGACAAUAGUCAGCAAUGUAUGGACUGGCCUUUCCUCAGCACUGCCUUCCUCAUUUCUCAGCACCACCAGGCUCGACCCAGCACAGCUCAUCCACCCACCCCAAUGACAGAAUGCAGCCAGAACUGUGGUCAAUAUGGAGUGGCACCUUUGAGAGAGGGCCUCUGAGCAAGUUCCUGUGCCUGUUUCUUUCAACGAGGAUAACUACUUCCACCUGCCUUUGUAAUUUGUUCCUGGGACAAAGAAAGCCUCUUGAGGAGGCUGGCCUGCCCUGCAUAUGUUGGAUAAACGCUUGAAAUAUGGACCUGUCCCCAUCUCUCGCCUUUCCCCGGAAUUCAGGACUGAAUGGAUGCUGCCUGCAUUUUGGGGAGUGGGAGUUUUGCUUUUCCUUUGCUUUGCUACUUACUCACUCUGAUGAACAAGGAGGAGACUGACAGCUUCACAGUCCUGGAUCAUUUCCUGCCCUGUUCUCCCAUCCAGCUCAUGGAAGUCAGCAACUCCAUCCACUCAUUGCACAGAGACCAGAAAGGGGAAGGGAUUUUCUCACUGUCUCACAGCAACUAAUGGCCAAGCUGUGGUGGGCGUCUUGGUGGUCUGAUUCCAAUUCAAGUUGGAGUGAGAGAGUGAGAAGAUUAUGGGCUGUGGCCUCAAGCCAACCAGGGUCUAAACCCAGCAUUGCCUCUGGCUUACUUGUGUCUCCUCUGCUUCCUCAUUCUUAGAAUGGAAAUCAUCAUCAUCAUCUCAUAGAAGUGUUAUGGGCAACAGACAGGAUAAUGUACAUGAAGCUCAUACAGCCUUAGGAUUAAAACCAGUGAAGACCCAAACGACUGUACCUGGGAAUUUAAGAUAAACAGGGUGUGUUACUGCCUGGCACAAACUGGGAAUUUGUGCAAAGGUAAGAUACCAAGCAGGACAGUAUUUCUCCUUGAGGGACCGUGAAAUCUUCUCAUCAUUUAAGCUUAUGAAACGAGGUGGAGCCUCAUUUCUUAAAGGGGGAAAUGCAAAUCAAAACUACCUGGGUAUCAUAUGAAAUUAUACCUUGAUAAAGCUGAUUUUUAAAACAUUACCCUGAGAAUUGUAAAGAUCAACAGUCCUGAUAACAAGCCAGGCAUCGUGGCUCAUGCCUGUAGUUCCAACUACUUGAGAGGCUGAGGUGGGAGGAUUGCUGGAGC